rnacentral:misc_RNA from 1 species
AAACUAAAAGAUAUAGGUAAAGUCAUUAAAACAAACCAAAAACAAAAUCAUUUUGAACGAUCAAAAGAACUGUGAACAAGAUUAAUUUGCAGUAUGAGAUCUCAUACUGUCGUACAGGAGAAACCAUAUUGCCAGGAGAAAAAAAAAAGACCAGUUGCUCAAGAUCCCAGAAAGAAUGAAAUAAGAUAUUUAUAAAUGACAUUAAACAUAAACCUUGAAAAGAAGUUGUAUUUUAUGUUAAUUUGAAGCCUGCUUAACAGGCCGUGCUACAUUGUACAGAACAAGACCCAAGACAAGGAUCAUGCUACCGAGCAGAAAAAAUGGGCUCAAACUUGCACCCUCAGGAAGAUAUGGCAAUGGAAGAGAUAACACAUAAAUUGAUAUUGGCACUGACAACAUUACAGCAAGAGAGGCAACAACUGCAGAAGAAAUUUUCACCAGAUUGAGCAAUGAUACGUUGAAAGCCAUAUUCAUAGUUACGUAAAGCAGUGGAAGCAAUGGAGCGCCAUUGCAGCCUGGUAUAUUUCUUCCAAUAUUCACUAAGCAACCAGCACCACUUUUCAUAUAUGAAGGAAGUUGAGCAAAGGGUAUGCCUUUUAAGUUUGACAAUAAAGGUAGGAGGAGGAGCACAAAAAGAGCCUGAAAUCCAGAACCAAAAGAAUUGACAACAAAUAUGUCAAGUGACUUUCCCUUUAAGCGUUUUGCAGCAUCCACAAAUAUAAAUUCCUUUAUGAUAGAUGCACCAGCUUGAAAAGCACUUGAUAUUAUCAUUACAGCCGGCCAGAUGAACUCAAAUCCAGAUAGCAUCUGAUCAGCACUGGAUCCGCUUGCAACAGCCACCACUACACCAAAAGCUACAAGCAUGCAGCCAGUUAUUUGCUUAAAUGAGUACCUUCUUCCCAAGAGAAGGGCAGAAAAUGCUAGUUGCCAAACCAAAAAUGUCUGACUCAAUAUGGGUAUAGCAGGUCCAGGAAGCAUGGCAGCAGCAGACAUUCCAGUUGCUACCCCAAGUGCUUCUAAAAUCCCAAUUGCCACAAACCGUGAUUUUGGAAGACCGAUCAUCUCACCAGUCACAAUUCCUGCACGGUACCGCAUAAACAAUAUCGAAAAGUAAAUCAUCACGUACCCGAAAGUGGUAAAUUGGGCUAAGAAGAAAGGAUACUGUUUCAUAGGGACAAGGGCGAGCUUGUAGAGCACCCGAUUUGCAACGGCUAAUGUUACGGUAAUCGCAGAGCUAAUAAGGACCAGUUUGCUGUUAUUGCUAGAGGAGGUGAAGUGCAGUACUGGUGGGGUUUCAUUUGACGCGCGAACGGUGAAAUUGGGGGUCUUGUGUGAGUUGCGAUUGAUGCGAAUAUCACCACCCCGGGUGAGUUUAGGAGACCUCCUAGAGAGUGGGGUCUGUGAUUGUGAAAGACGGAGACUGGGUUUUGUUGGGAAGGACAUUGAACCAUUAACGUUGUAGCUAUGGAGCCGAGUUGGGUAAGGGGAGAUAAGGGCAUUCAACGACGUCGUUUUGUACAGUAGCAUUUUAUCAGAGAAGGAAGGGCAAUAGAACAGCUGGUGUGGAGGGGAAGAAGAGAGGGAGAGUUAAACAUGUGGUGUGGUCAAAUUAACAUGGGUU